AAACGGCACAAGAAUAUAAAAUAGCAACUUAAUAUCAGAAAUUCAGAAUAUAAUUUCUAUAGUAUUAUUUACCUUUGUAUGCAAAACAAAGGUUCAAGAUAUCGAAAACCCAGCAAUGGUCCACGAGAGCAACCUGUCACAAAC